rnacentral:rRNA from 1 species
AGUGGAUGGGGAGCAACCUAGUUGUGCGUGUGUAAAGGUAGUGCCAAGAAAAGCGAUGAUCAUGUUGAAAAUCAAUUCCCGGUACCCGAAACCGACACAGGUGGGCAAGUAGAGAAUACUAAGGGGCGCGAGGUAACUCUCUCCAAGGAACUCGGCAAAAUGACCCCGUAACUUAGGGAGAAGGGGUGCCACCGAGAGGUGGUCGCAGUGAAGAGGCCCAGGCGACUGUUUAGCAAAACAUAGGUCUCUGCAAACUCGGAAGAGGAGGUAUAGGGGCUGACGCCUGCCCAGUGCCGGAAGGUUAAAGAAGUUGGUCAGUUUUAGGAUGAAGCUAGCGACUGAAGCCCCGGUGAACGGCGGCCGUAACUAUAACGGUCCUAAGGUAGCGAAAUUCCCUGUCGGGUAAGUUCCGACCCGCACGAAAGGCGUAACGAUCUGGGCGCUGUCUCGGAGAGAGGCUCGGCGAAAUAGGAUUGUCUGUGAAGAUACGGACUACCUGCAUUUGGACAGAAAGACCCUAUGAAGCUUUACUAUAGCUUGGAAUUGUGUUCGGGCUUCCUGUGCGCAGGAUAGGUGGGAGGCGUAGAAGGUAUUCUUGUGGGGAUACUGGAGCCAACGGUGAGAUACCACUCUCAGGAGGCUAGAAUUCUAACUUAAUUAAGGACAGUUUCAGGUGGGUAGUUUGACUGGGGCGGUCGCCUCCAAAAAGGUAACGGAGGCGUACAAAGGUUCCCUCAGACUGGUUGGAAAUCAGUCGAAGAGUGCAAAGGCAGAAGGGAGCUUGACUGCGAGAAGUACAGUUCGAGCAGGGUGGAAACACGGUCUUAGUGAUCCGACGGUGCUGUGUGGAAGGGCCGUCGCUCAACGGAUAAAAGUUACUCUAAGGAUAACAGGCUGAUCUCCCCCAAGAGUUCACAUCGACGGGGAGGUUUGGCACCUCGAUGUCGGCUCAUCGCAACCUGGGGCGGAAGUACGUCCCAAGGGUUGGGCUGUUCGCCCAUUAAAGCGGUACGUGAGCUGGGUUCAGAACGUCGUGAGACAGUUCGGUCCAUAUCCGAUGUAGGCGUGAGAAUAUUGAGAGGAGCCUUCCUUAGUACGAGAGGACCGGGAAGGACGCACCGCUGGUGUACCUGUUAUGAUGCCAAUUGUAAACGCAGGGUAGCCAAGUGCGGAGAGGAUAACCGCUGAAAGCAUCUAAGUGGGAAGCCCACCUCAAGAUGAGUAUUCUGGUGUAAGGUCACGGGAAGACGACCCGUAAAUAGGCACGAGGUGGAAGUGCAGAGAUGUAUGAAGCCGAAGUGUACUAAUAGACCGUCGGCUUGACC